GACGAACGCUGGCGGCGUGCUUAACACAUGCAAGUCGAACGAAGAGCGAUGGAAGCUUGCUUCUAUCAAUCUUAGUGGCGAACGGGUGAGUAACGCGUAAUCAACCUGCCCUUCAGAGGGGGACAACAGUUGGAAACGACUGCUAAUACCGCAUACGAUCUAAUCUCGGCAUCGAGGAUAGAUGAAAGGUGGCCUCUACAUGUAAGCUAUCACUGAAGGAGGGGAUUGCGUCUGAUUAGCUAGUUGGAGGGGUAACGGCCCACCAAGGCGAUGAUCAGUAGCCGGUCUGAGAGGAUGAACGGCCACAUUGGGACUGAGACACGGCCCAGACUCCUACGGGAGGCAGCAGUGGGGAAUCUUCCGCAAUGGACGAAAGUCUGACGGAGCAACGCCGCGUGAGUGAUGACGGCCGUCGGGUUGUAAAGCUCUGUUAAUCGGGACGAAAGGCCUUCUUGCGAACAGUUAGAAGGAUUGACGGUACCGGAAUAGAAAGCCACGGCUAACUACGUG
rnacentral:rRNA from 1 species